rnacentral:rRNA from 1 species
UACGAAGGGGGGCUAGCGUUGUUCGGAUUUACUGGGCGUAAAGCGCACGUAGGCGGAUUGUUAAGUCAGGGGUGAAAUCCCAGAGCUCAACUCUGGAACUGCCUUUGAUACUGGCAAUCUAGAGUCCGGAAGAGGUGAGUGGAACUCCUAGUGUAGAGGUGGAAUUCGUAGAUAUUAGGAAGAACACCAGUGGCGAAGGCGGCUCACUGGUCCGGUACUGACGCUGAGGUGCGAAAGCGUGGGGAGCAAACAGG